AGCAGCCGCGGUAAUUCCAGCUCCAAUAGCGUAUAUUAAAGUUGUUGUGGUUAAGAAGCUCGUAGUUGAACCUUGGGCCUGGCUGGCCGGUCCGCCUCACCGCGUGUACUGGUCCGGCCGGGCCUUUCCCUCUGUGGAACCUCAUGCCCUUCACUGGGUGUGGCGGGGAAACAGGACUUUUACUUUGAAAAAAUUAGAGUGCUCCAGGCAGGCCUAUGCUCGAAUACAUUAGCAUGGAAUAAUAAAAUAGGACGUGUGGUUCUAUUUUGUUGGUUUCUAGGACCGCCGUAAUGAUUAAUAGGGACAGUCGGGGGCAUCAGUAUUCAAUUGUCAGAGGUGAAAUUCUUAGAUUUAUUGAAGACUAACUACUGCGAAAGCAUUUGCCAAGGAUGUUUUCAUUAAUCAGGAACGAAAGUUAGGGGAUCGAAGACGAUCAGAUACCGUCGUAGUCUUAACCAUAAACUAUGCC
rnacentral:rRNA from 1 species